rnacentral:rRNA from 1 species
AGCAGCCGCGGUAAUUCCAGCUCCAAUAGCGUAUAUUAAAGUUGUUGCAGUUAAAAAGCUCGUAGUUGAAUUUCGGGGUUCUACCGUUGGUCGGGCUUUGUCUGUACUGGCGUGUAGAAUUUCUACCUUCUGGGGAACCAUCAUGUUAUUAAUUUAACGUGGUGGGAAACCAGGACCUUUACCUUGAAAAAAUUAGAGUGUUCAAAGCAGGCUUAUGUCUGAAUACAUUAGCAUGGAAUAAUAGAAUAGGACGGUGGUCCUGUUUUGUUGGUUUCUGAAUCACCGUAAUGAUUAAUAGGGAUAGUUGGGGGCAUUAGUAUUCAAUUGUCAGAGGUGAAAUUCUUGGAUUUAG